AUCAGAGGGGGCAGAGCUUUAUAUAGUAAUAACCGAAGACGGCACACGCUCAUGUGGGAUUUAAGCUUGGAUUUAUUUACGAUUGGAUUUAACUACGAAAGUUGUACCGCAGACAAAGAGGAAGGAUUCUCUCAGGAGUGAUUUGUUCGAGGAUUCAAGAUGCUCUUCUGAAAUAUUUUCCUUCCACCUCUUUACAUCCCGGGCCAUCUUUUACAGCCAACUUAUCCACAUCAGUACCAAAUCCAAGCCCGCCAAGUCCAGUGCCUCCCACAAACAAACUGCUGGAGGAAAAAGAAAUAGUAGUAGAGGACAAACUGAAAGAUUCUGCUCAAAGAAAAGAAGGAAAAUCACGCUGUCUCCGGCAAAGCUUGUGAGCUGGGCUGCUCUUCAGUGAGACCAACCAGAGAGCGCUGACUGUCGGUAUGGCUCUCGCUUUGGACCUGCUCAGAGAGCGUUUGGACAGUGGAUGUGUCAGGAAUGGCUAGAAAUAACAGUGAGAAGAACGGAAGGGGAACAAGAGAUGAAGAGCCAAAGGAAAGAGGAGAUUAAGAGUGUGUGUUCUUGCCCGUCGUGUAAAAGGAGUAUGAAGAUAAUGGGCAGCGUUGGAGAAGCGUAC